rnacentral:rRNA from 1 species
AUUGAACGCUGGCGGCAGGCCUAACACAUGCAAGUCGAACGAGUGGCGGACGGGAGAGUAAUGUCGGGGAAACUGCCUGAUGGAGGGGGAUAACCAUGGGAAACGGUAGCAAAUCCCGCACACCAUCGGAUGUGCCCAGAUGGGAGUAGCUAGUAGGUGGGGGAAAGGCUCACCUAGGCGACGAUCCCUAGCUGGUCUGAGAGGAUGACCAGCCACACUGGAACUGAGACACGGUCCAGACUCCUACGGGAGGCAGCAGUGGGGAAUAUUGCACAAUGGGCGCAAGCCUGAUGCAGCCAUGCCGCGUGUAUGAAGAAGGCCUUCGGGUUGUAAAGUACUUUCAGCGGGGAGGCGUUACCCGCAGAAGAAGCACCGGCUAACUCCGUGCCAGCAGCCGCGGUAAUAC